rnacentral:rRNA from 1 species
CAGCAGCCGCGGUAAUACAGAGGGUGCAAGCGUUAAUCGGAAUUACUGGGCGUAAAGCGCGCGUAGGUGGUUUGUUAAGUUGGAUGUGAAAUCCCCGGGCUCAACCUGGGAACUGCAUUCAAAACUGACAAGCUAGAGUAUGGUAGAGGGUGGUGGAAUUUCCUGUGUAGCGGUGAAAUGCGUAGAUAUAGGAAGGAACACCAGUGGCGAAGGCGACCACCUGGACUGAUACUGACACUGAGGUGCGACAAGCGUGGGGAGCAAACAGGAUUAGAUACCCUGGUAGUCCACGCCGUAAACGAUGCYCAACUAGCCGUUGGGAGCCUUGAGCUCUUAGUGG